AGAGUUUGAUCCUGGCUCAGAAUCAACGCUGGCGGCGUGCCUAACACAUGCAAGUCGAACGCGAAAGCCCCGCAAGGGGUAAGUAGAGUGGCAAACGGGUGAGUAACACGUGGGUGACCUGCCUUCGAGUGGGGGAUAACGUCCCGAAAGGGACGCUAAUACCGCAUAACAUCCUGCUCUUGGACGAGUGGAGAUCAAAGCCGGGGAUCGCAAGACCUGGCACUUGAAGAGGGGCCCGCGCCUGAUUAGCUAGUUGGUGGGGUAAUGGCCUACCAAGGCUACGAUCAGUAUCCGGCCUGAGAGGGCGGACGGACACACUGGGACUGAGACACGGCCCAGACUCCUACGGGAGGCAGCAGUGGGGAAUUGUUCGCAAUGGGCGCAAGCCUGACGACGCAACGCCGCGUGGAGGAUGAAGAUCUUCGGGUCGUAAACUCCUGUCGAGCGGGAAGAAACUCACGAGGGUGAAUAAUCCUCGUGGCUGACGGUACCGCUAAAGGAAGCCCCGGCUAACUCCGUGCCAGCAGCCGCGGUAAUACGGGGGGGGCAAGCGUUGUUCGGAAUUACUGGGCGUAAAGGGCUCGUAGGCGGCCAACUAAGUCGGACGUGAAAUCCCCAGGCUCAACCUGGGAACUGCGUCCGAUACUGGAUGGCUUGAAUUCGGGAGAGGGAUGCAGAAUUCCAGGUGUAGCGGUGAAAUGCGUAGAUAUCUGGAGGAAUACCGGUGGCGAAGGCGGCAUCCUGGACCGACAUUGACGCUGAUGAGCGAAAGCCAGGGGAGCAAACGGGAUUAGAUACCCCGGUAGUCCUGGCCCUAAACGAUGAAUGCUUGGUGUGACGGGUAUCGAUCCCUGUCGUGCCGAAGCUAACGCAUUAAGCAUUCCGCCUGGGGAGUACGGUCGCAAGGCUGAAACUUAAAGGAAUUGACGG
rnacentral:rRNA from 1 species